GGCUCAGGAUGAACGCUAGCUACAGGCUUAACACAUGCAAGUCGAGGGGCAGCAUGGUCUUAGCUUGCUAAGGCCGAUGGCGACCGGCGCACGGGUGAGUAACACGUAUCCAACCUGCCGUCUACUCUUGGACAGCCUUCUGAAAGGAAGAUUAAUACAAGAUGGCAUCAUGAGUCCGCAUGUUCACAUGAUUAAAGGUAUUCCGGUAGACGAUGGGGGAUGCGUUCCAUUAGAUAGUAGGCGGGGUAACGGCCCACCUAGUCUUCGAUGGAUAGGGGUUCUGAGAGGAAGGUCCCCCACAUUGGAACUGAGACACGGUCCAAACUCCUACGGGAGGCAGCAGUGGGGAAUAUUGGUCAAUGGGCGAGAGCCUGAACCAGCCAAGUAGCGUGAAGGAUGACUGCCCUAUGGGUUGUAAACUUCUUUUAUAAAGGAAUAAAGUCGGGUAUGGAUACCCGUUUGCAUGUACUUUAUGAAUAAGGAUCGGCUAACUCCGUG
rnacentral:rRNA from 1 species